CCUACGGGAGGCAGCAGUGAGGAAUAUUGGUCAAUGGACGAGAGUCUGAACCAGCCAAGUCGCGUGAAGGAUGACUGUCCUAUGGGUUGUAAACCUCUUUUAUCUGGGAAUAAAAUGUUCCACGUGUGGGAUUUUGUAUGUACCAUAUGAAUAAGCAUCGGCUAACUCCGUGCCAGCAGCCGCGGUAAUACGGAGGAUCCGAGCGUUAUCCGGAUUUAUUGGGUUUAAAGGGAGCGCAGGGGGGUUGUUAAGUCAGUGGUGAAAGUUUGCGGCUCAACCGUAAAAUUGCCGUUGAAACUGGCAGUCUUGAGUACGGUAGAGGUAGGCGGAAUGCGUGGUGUAGCGGUGAAAUGCUUAGAUAUCACGAAGAACUCCGAUUGCGAAGGCAGUUCACCGG
rnacentral:rRNA from 1 species